CUACGGGACGCUGCAGUGAGGAAUAUUGCGCAAUGGGGGAAACCCUGACGCAGCGACGCCGCGUGGAUGAUGAAGGCCUUCGGGUCGUAAAAUCCUGUCAGAAGGAAAGAAGUAUAUGGUAGCUAAUAUCUGCCAUAUUUGACGGUACCUUCAAAGGAAGCACCGGCUAACUCCGUGCCAGCAGCCGCGGUAAUACGGAGGGUGCAAGCGUUGUUCGGAAUUACUGGGCGUAAAGCGCGCGUAGGCGGCUGUUUAAGUCAGAUGUGAAAGCCCAUGGCUUAACCAUGGACGUGCAUUUGAUACUGGGCAGCUUGAGUACUGGAGGGGGUGGUGGAAUUCCCGGUGUAGAGGUGAAAUUCGUAGAUAUCGGGAGGAAUACCGGUGGCGAAGGCGACCACCUGGCCAGAUACUGACGCUGAGGUGCGAAAGCGUGGGGAGCAAACAGGAUUAGAUACCCCGGUAGUC
rnacentral:rRNA from 1 species